rnacentral:rRNA from 1 species
GACGAACGCUGGCGGCGUGCUUAACACAUGCAAGUCGAACGGAAAGGCCCUGCUUUUGUGGGGUGCUCGAGUGGCGAACGGGUGAGUAACACGUGAGUAACCUGCCCUUGACUUUGGGAUAACUUCAGGAAACUGGGGCUAAUACCGGAUAGGAGCUCCUGCUGCAUGGUGGGGGUUGGAAAGUUUCGGCGGUUGGGGAUGGACUCGCGGCUUAUCAGCUUGUUGGUGGGGUAGUGGCUUACCAAGGCUUUGACGGGUAGCCGGCCUGAGAGGGUGACCGGCCACAUUGGGACUGAGAUACGGCCCAGACUCCUACGGGAGGCAGCAGUGGGGAAUAUUACACAGUGGGCGGAAGCCUGAUACAGCAACGCCGCGUGCGGGAUGACGGCCUUCGAGUUGUAAACCGCUUUCGCCUGUGACGAAGCGUGAGUGACGGUAAUGGGUAAAGAAGCACCGGCUAACUACGUG